rnacentral:lncRNA from 1 species
UAACACUAGUAAAAUUAUAAUUAAGCACAUUUUCUACUAGCAAUUUAGUUAGCAAAUUUACAACUAACUUCUACCUCUCUACAUGGAUUCUAAGCCUGCAAAAUAUUAAGAGUCCUGGCAACUGGAACAUAUACUACGUUACCAAAAUCAUAAGAAGCAAGGAGCUGGUGAGAUGUUUAUCUGACAGUCUCCUUCAACAUAAAUUGCAGCCACCUGACCCAUAAUCGGAUGUUCAUCAGUAAAGAGCAUAUGAAACCUGUUUCAUCCAGUCGAUUGCAUUGUGCUGCCGUGAUCAAUAACAUUUCUGCGUUUCAAAUAUAAUAUGAAGACAUAUCAGACUUGUUUUCAUAAGUUAUUUGUCUUAUAUUGUCUUGUGUUUACUGAUUUUUAAAUAACGCCACUUGGCGGAUCGAUGCACAUUCUUCAAUGUUGUCAAUGAUGAUGUAAUACUACAAAUUUUUAGAAUGCAUAAUGGAGGUAAUAUAGUAAAUUACUAGUUAUGCAUUAAAAAAAAACAAUAUGCUAUUGACUACUUUGUACAAAAACCAACUUACUAUUAUUGCAGGAGCUCUGAUACUGUAGUAAAUAUUGCUUGUAACAUUUUAGAACAUUUUAUUCACAGCUUUGAAAGUUAUUUACAUUAUGCAAAUAAGUAAGAACAAUGUCAUUAUAUUUUAAAGAAUACAAUGGAACUUGAAUAAUUUAAAACUGAAGGGACCUAAAGAUUUGAAUUAUCCAAGAUUUUGAACUAUAAAGGUUACAUUGGGAACACACACAACAGAACACAUAGUAAUAAGGGAUACAUUUCACACACGUCUUAAAUACAUGUAUUAUAGUUUUCGUUGUAUACUUUUUAUCAUUAAUAAAAUCAAUGAAAAUUUGUACGAUUUUCGUUUGCUCAUUACGAUUAAAUCUUUUGUUAGAACAAGACUGAACCAGGUUAAUAAGACAUUUUAAAAGCACACCAAUUAUAUUUUGUUAUCAUUCAAAACAGCACCUCAGUUCUCUGUUGUAAUCCACUAACUGAGCCAGGACAAAAAUCAAGGAAUCGAUUCAUGUGGCAAGUAAAUAUUCUUUGUCCUCUUUAUUGGAAAAUUCAACUGUCUGGGCGUUUAAACAUUGGCCAAAAUGACGGUAUUGAUUACCUCUCCACACAUUUCCACGGCACUAUGAUAUACUCGUAGUUGUUAUACACAACUUUACUGUUCUUAUUAAUGUUUUCCAAAUACUCAGGAAUAGUCUCAAGUUCAGUUCUUGGAGGUUUUCAAGAGCAACCUGGCAGAAACUGACUUUAAGGAAACAGUUUGCAGUUGUCAGCUGCUUAACUUGGUUUCAAGCACUGUAACUCAAAUGGGCUGCUUGGAGUGUAUAAAUCUUCACUUUCUAUUUUUUGUCUAAAAAUACACCUAAAAGUAAAAUUUGCAAAAGUUAUGCUUAACAUUUUAUGAUUGCCUGAGUUUAAUAAGUUGAGCUUCAGAGGUCAUGUAUGUAGGAAAAAGAAACUUUUGACAUUUUUUAAUAAGGAAAUACUGUUAUCUUAGCUCUUAGUCCUAUGCAAGUGGUGUAAUAACUGUCAUCUAAGUUUUCCGAUUUACACAAUCUUGAAACUUUGCUUUUACAAUUAAAUUGUUAAAUAUUUCGACCUAGCUUUGGAGAGCCAUCUACAGUCGAAAUAUAUUCAACCAACACUGCCAAUAAUACACAUCUACCUGUACAGGUGAUUAGAAAGGGGUGGAGCUUUAUUGUGAUUGGCUGAAGAACCACAAUGAACAACUAUGAUCAAUAUGGCUUACUAGACUCUCUAGUAAGCAGAUUCGUUAAUCACUGCAAAUAAUCUAAAGUCAUACUCAGAAGAAAAAUAUCGCUACUGAAAACAAACUUGCAACAUUAUUACAAUGUCUUACAUUACGUCCAUGAAGAAAAUAUUCCUUCAGCCCAAACAGCUCAAUUUUCAGGUGAGCCCCUCUUUGGAAGACUUCCUCUUAGGAAACCAAAAUUUCCUUUUAUUUUAAUCUCGGCUCAUUCAAAAAUUGGUAAUGUGUGGAGUCUUUCCAUUACACUUAACCCUUUGCAUUCAAAUUUUUUUCACCUGUCUGCCCCCUUAGCUCAUAUUUAUUUUUGUAUAUUUAUUGUAAAUAACAGCCCUCUAGUGAAUAAUUAGUUCUAUAUACAUACACUUAUGUUUAAUUCUUUAAAAUUCUUAAUACCAAUUUAUUGUUCCACAAUAUAAAAAAAACAGACUCUCAUUAAAAAGUUUUCUAAUUCACCAUUGUAUGAUAUCCCUAAAAAAAUCUGUCCCUCAAAAAUACAUUUACAAAAAUAGGUUGGUGAUAAAUUAUUAUUCGGAAAAAAAAAUUCUGUAAGAUGGAUUUGGAUUCAGUGCCAUGUUUAGGUUUAAAACCUAAGAAAACCUUUAUUUCCUCUAGGGAAACAUUUUUCCAAGUGGACCAGAUAGAUUUAGACAUAAGUGGUCUUUGCUUGUUUAUUUUUCUUCUGCAUAACGAUCAGUUUCAGCAACAAUUUUAUUUAGUAUUUCAAAUGUAUAAAAACAAAUGAAAAAGUUUGAAAUAUUCACAAGUUUGCUUCGAUUAGGUUCAUUAUACCCACCUGCUAAAGUAUAAGGAAAAUCAGGCCCAUCAUAAACAGUCCAACAGUUAUCAAAUCCAUCUCCAUAGCCACCAUUAUUUGAGGUUGGGCAUAGGCCUUCAUCACUUUCACUACCCGACACAUUUUCUAAUGUUGGCAGGACGAGUUUUCACCAUCACUAUGUUCACUUUCGUCAUUAUUCGAUUUGUAAUCGUUCUCAGUAUUAACCUCGGAAUUGGAAAGAGACUAACUGCCCGGUAACAACACAUUCAGUUGAUGAGAAUACAAAUGAGGUUAACACAUCGACUAAUAAAAACAGAAACAACAGCAGAUAAUGAUUGUUUUUGUUCAGCUGUUAGUAUUAGUUCUUAAGACUGCCGUGCGAUCGUGGCACCAAUCGAAGACAUCGCGGACCAGCCACAAAACUGACGUUAUCACGAUGUCAGAUACUGUUCGGCAUACAAGUGGAACAACGAAAUUACAAUGUCGGAUGAAGUCCGACAAACAAGUUGUAAGGGUUAAUAAACAUGAAUUUAGGUAUAAGGCAAUCCCAACUUUAAAGUCACUUGUCUGUAUAAACAUACACAUGUUUUUGCCACCCAGAAUUUAAAGAGCAAUUUUGCAUCCUUAGUAAGUUUGCUUGCUAUGCCAACUGUUGCUAGGUUGGUACACAGAUGAGACAUGACAUCACAUAACACCAAACUGUCAAGAAAUAUUAAUGUAAUUUUUAAGAGAAAGGAGAUAAGACUUACAUUUUGAGGAGGAGGGAUGAGCUGACCACAGAGACCGAACUGAGAGCCAUUGCUGCAGACGCCAUCCAUGGCUGCAAACAAGUAUCAUCGUUAAACUUGCAUUUUUAUACUUUUUGAGAAAUUACAGAUAAUUUAAAAAUUUUAAACUUGUACUCAUCACUCUUUGAAUAGCAUCAGAGAAUUUAGAAGUUCACUGGAUAUAGCCUCUAAUUUUUUGUGUUACUAGAGACUUAACAAGACAAAGAGGUGUAAACAGACGCAACACAAAACAUGCAGGCAAGUUCCACCUUCCUGCUCACAGAACAGCCACCUAUGCAAUAAAAAACAUAUUAUGUCGGAAUCAAGAAGUAGAAUGCACUGCCUGAAGACUUGAAGAGCUAUAGCCCACACAACCUGAAGAAGGAACUCCGAACUUGGCUUCAGGAAAGUGUCUUCUACAGCCUGGAGGAAUUCUUCAAUUGAAGGACUAUGCACAAGGACCCAACUCUUAAAGAAGACCUUAUUAUCUCUGUAUAUUAAAUUUAACUAACUUUUAAGAAGGAAACUGACAUGUAUUCUAAUCUUGAUGAUUAUGAAUAAAGAAUUUCUGAUUUCUGGAUUGAAGUUGUACCUGGGAAUAAAAGAGGCUCUCUUAGAAGUUGGAUUAAUGAAAAUUUCAGAGCACAUGAGUGCAGGAUGACUACAGCAGGGAUGACAGACUGGCUUAAAACAAGGAAGUAAUUAUCGCCAGUUUUGAAGUGAAUUUCAAGGAAUGCAAAGGGACAUCAAAGACAACAAACAGAAUAUCUACAUAUUUACAAUGAACCAACCUAUAAACAAAAUUAAAACUAUCAGGGUGUAAGCUGUUUUUAUUAAAAGGAGAAGUCUCAAGGUUUACAUGAUUUUCGAUUGGUAGAAACAGCACACUUCAUCGUUCAUUGUGAAAGUCUACACGGCAGAAGUCCUUUGUAUUCUGUAUGAUUGUACUUAGUAUGAAGUAUGAUUCAAUGAUAAGUUUCACCAAUCCUCUUCCUGCUCAGAGAAUCAGGCGAUUGUAUGAACAAUUUCGCAAAGAAGAAAUCCACUGGUCAUCUCUGUUUAUCAGAAAAUAAGCCAAUAGAGCCACUAAAAUUCGAAUUGUUGUGGCAGCACGUAACUGAAGAAUUCUAUGCAUGUCUGAUGAUUUUUCAUGAAAUCGUAUAAGAUACAAUAACUGGAGGCACUUCAUACAGAUGACAAAUUUAUAAUGAUGUGUGGAGCUGUGUGAAUUCACCCACAGCAAGAGGAAAAUAUCACAAAGUAUUUAGAAAUGUUAGUGAUGAAACUACUACUAAUAAUAAUAAUAAUAAUUUUAUUGUUUUCGAACAUUUACAUGUUAUAGCAAUUGUCAAGGAAGAAAAUAGGCUGAUUUUGGAUUCAUAAAUGACAUCUGGGUUACUUUCAUACAUACAAUUUGUUCCAUCCAUCCAACUGCUCAUUCAUUUGAAUUUCCCACUCUAGCAUCAGCCAAUCAUGUGGUCACCCAAACAUGUGCCAUGAACUCGUCUGUACUGUAAAAAGCUUCUGA